rnacentral:rRNA from 1 species
UACGUAGGGGGCAAGCGUUAUCCGGAUUCAUUGGGCGUAAAGCGCGCGUAGGCGGUCUGUUAGGUCAGGAGUCAAAUCCGGGGGCUCAACCCCCGUUCGCUUCUGAUACCGGCAGACUUGAGUUUGGUAGGGGAAGGUGGAAUUCCCAGUGUAGCGGUGGAAUGCGCAGAUAUUGGGAAGAACACCGGUGGCGAAGGCGGCCUUCUGGGCCAUAACUGACGCUGAGGCGCGAAAGCUAGGGGAGCGAACAGGAUUAGAUACCCUGGUAGUCCUAGCCGUAAACGAUGGACACUAGGUGUGGGGAGAUGUUCUCUCCGUGCCGCAGCUAACGCAUUAAGUGUCCCGCCUGGGGAGUACGGCCGCAAGGCUAAA